UUUUGAUAAACUUGUGGAUAUUGUGUUGAUAUCAUGAAUUAAUUGCAUCUAAAAUGAAACUGACCAUCUGCACCCCCAUUACGUUCUUGGUUUCCAAACAUUUCUGAAUGGCACCAUUUUCCUUUCAGAUAUCCAGACUCCAAGUCUUCAAGCCACAUUCACCUUUUCCUCUCCGACCUCCAUUUGGAACCCAUUGCUAUAAGACAGAGGCGAUCUCUGGUAUUUCUCCCAUCCAUUUGCUUUUAUUGGAACCUCUUUCAUUAAGGCCUACAAGGAAUGUUAUAUUGGAUGCAUGAAAUACCAAACAUCAAGGAUCUUUGACGAGGCCAGCUGGAAUGGAGAUGACAAGGUUGGAAGCCAUGUUGAAGGUAUUUGGAGUUUUGUGGAGCAUGAGGACUAAAAAGAUGAAUUUACAAAGAAGAUGACUUGUUAUGACCUCUAAAUUGUUUGAAAAAGGAAGUGGGAAAUUACACAAGGCUACAACACAAAUAUGGACAAAUGAUUGUUUCAACAUUAUCUGCCAAUGAAUUUCUCCUGCAAGCAAUGAUUUGUGAUGCUUUUUUUUAUUAUAUAUUAUUUAAAAAGUGAUAGUAUAUAUUUCUAGGCUUUUCCUAUGGCAUACAUAUUUAUAACAGUGCUAAAUAGAUGACUUUAUUCUAGCUUUGCAGAAUAUUUAAUAUUGGACAGAUUAAAAUUUAAAGUAUGAACCUCACAAAAAUAAGUAUUCAUCUAGUCCUAUUUGCUAAUUUUAUUGUGAUGAAUUUCAGAUUGUAUUAUUUCCCUCAAUCAUUUGAAUUUUCAUUGUCAAGAUAUUUAAUCUUCAGAGCUUAGAACCCCAAGUAGCAGAGAAAAUAAUGUAUAUUAUUUGAAUGAAUUAACUUGUUUGGAAGAAAUGAUUUUUUCAGAGUAUUCUUAAGGGUUUCAUACUUUUGAUUGUUAUUAUAAUUGAAUAUUUACCACUUUAUUAAG
rnacentral:lncRNA from 1 species